rnacentral:rRNA from 1 species
GUUUGAUCCUGGCUCAGAACGAACGCUGGCGGCAUGCCUAACACAUGCAAGUCGAACGAAGAUAUGGCUUCGGCCAUAGACUGAGUGGCGCACGGGUGAGUAACGCGUAGGAAUUUACCUUUCGGUGGGGGACAACUGAUGGAAACGUCAGCUAAUACCGCAUACGCUCUACGGAGGAAAGAUUUAUUGCCGAAAGAUAAGCCUGCGUUAGAUUAGGUAGUUGGUGAGGUAAAAGCUCACCAAGCCGAUGAUCUAUAGCUGGUCUGAGAGGAUGAUCAGCCACACUGGGACUGAGACACGGCCCAGACUCCUACGGGAGGCAGCAGUGGGGAAUAUUGGACAAUGGGGGAAACCCUGACCCAGCAAUGCCGCGUGAGUGAUGAAGGCCUUAGGGUUGUAAAACUCUUUCAACUGUGAAGAUGAUGACGGUAACAGUAGAAGAAGCUCCGGCUAACUCCGUGCCAGCAGCCGCGGUAAUA